rnacentral:rRNA from 1 species
AUUGAACGCUGGCGGCAGGCUUAACACAUGCAAGUCGAGCGAGCGGCGGACGGGUGAGUAAUGUCUGGAAACUGCCUGAUGGAGGGGGAUAACUACUGGAAACGGUAGCUAAUAACGCAUACCAUCGGAUGUGCCCAUAUGGGCUUAGCUAGUAGGUGGGGUAAAGGCUCAACUAGGCGACGAUCCCUAGCUGGUCUUGGGGGAGGACCAGCCACACUGUGACUGAGACACGGCCCAGACUCCUACGGGAGGCAGCAGUGUGGAAUAUUGCACAAUGGGCGCAAGCCUGAUGCAGCCAUGCCGCGGGUAUGAAGAAGGCCUUCGGGUUGUAAAGUACUUUCAGCGGGGAGGCGUUACCCGCAGAAGAAGCACCGGCUAACUCCGUGCCAGCAGCCGCGGUAAUAC